GACGAACGCUGGCGGCGUGCCUAAUACAUGCAAGUCGAACGAGAGCGACCGGUGCUUGCACUGGUCAAUCUAGUGGCGAACGGGUGAGUAACACGUGGGUAACCUGCUCAUCAGAGGGGGAUAACAUCCGGAAACGGAUGCUAAAACCGCAUAGGUCUUCGAGCCGCAUGGCUUGAAGAGGAAAAGAGGCGCAAGCUUCUGCUGAUGGAUGGACCCGCGGUGCAUUAGCUAGUUGGUGAGGUAACGGCUCACCAAGGCCGUGAUGCAUAGCCGACCUGAGAGGGUGAUCGGCCACAUUGGGACUGAGACACGGCCCAAACUCCUACGGGAGGCAGCAGUAGGGAAUCUUCCGCAAUGGAUGCAAGUCUGACGGAGCAACGCCGCGUGAGUGAAGAAGGUUUUCGGAUCGUAAAACUCUGUUGUCAGAGAAGAACAAGUGCUAGAGUAACUGUUAGCGCCUUGACGGUAUCUAACCAGAAAGCCACGGCUAACUACGUG
rnacentral:rRNA from 1 species